rnacentral:rRNA from 1 species
AGCCUCGUAAGAGUUCCACAUUGUUAUUUUUUGUCACUACCUCUGCUUGGCACUGCAAGUGGGUAAUUUGCGCGCCUGCUGCCUUCCUUAGAUGUGGUAGCCAUUUCUAAGGCUCCCUCUCCGGAAUCGGACCCUGAUCCCCCGUUACCCGUAACAACCAUGGUGAGCAUAUCCCUCACCAUCGAAAGUUGAUAGGUCAGACACUUGAAAGAUACAUCGACGGCAUAAAGCCAUUCGAUUAGAGUAAUUAUCCAGAGUCAUCAAAUUAACCGGCCGAAACCGUGUUGGAUUUGAACUGAUAAACCCACCACAACAAUAAAGCUGCGGCAUAAUGGGCAUGUAUUAGCUCUAGAAUUACUACAGUUAUCCAAGUAGCUGUGUAAGAUCUAAGAAAUUAUAGCUGAUUUAAUGAGCCAUUUGUGGUUUCACCGUACAAGGGUGUGAACUCGGCAUGCAUGGCUUAGUCUUUGAGACAAGCAUAUCAUUACUGGCAGGAUCAACCA